CUACUAUCCCUGACCUGAGAACCAGGCGUGAACUAGACUGGGUGACAGUGAUGGACCUUGAUGAGCUCGUGGGACCUUCUAGACCUGAUAUUUCUUCAUAAUAACAGCUGACAUUUACAUGACACUCCAGAAGGGUUUCCAAGAGGCUGUCUCCUUCACUCAUUGGAUUCUGAAGACAACCAAGAGAAAUAGACCAUCCUACAGUGAAGGGAUGGAAGAUGCCCUCAUGCCCAGAUUUGCAGUCCUCUCAGCUCUACAACAACCUAUAAAUAAGACUGGAGCAUGUGAGGAAACACCAAAUCACCAGAAGAGAGGAAGGAGAAAGAGAAGAAAGAAAAAUAGAAUCAUUUAUACAAACAAACUUGCUCUACGGUUAUAAAGUUCAGCUACCUCCUGACCACAUUAGAUGAAGAAAGUGACCUUUCUAAGGGAAGAAGACUCGAGGUCAAAUGGUUCUACCAUCCCUUCUAGUUCUAAGAUUCCAAAAUCUAAGUCUUCAAUUUUGUUGAGAUCCAACCAUGAGAAGAACUAUAAAAGGAGAGAAGGAAGUUUGGCUUUUUGAAGAACUCAGGAUGAGCAAGAAGAGGACAGUCCACCAGGCAACAUGCCAAGGUAAGAAAGAGGUCACUUGGCCACUCCCAAAGCUUGAGUCAUCAACUAGGUAGAAGAAAGGCUCUAACCAAAAUCCAAAAAGAGGAAUAACCAAAAUCCUCCUUUAAGACUUCAAGGGCCUUGUUCAAUGAGACAAGUUCAUCCUGACUGGUCCAACAUCUUCCUAGAGAAGUCAAGAUGUAAAAAACAACCAAUAACAACAAAACCCCCAUUUCUCUGUUGUGGAAGAGCUGGGAUUUCCUCUAAGCAGAAAGCCGAUUCUUUGAAGUAGCUAAGCUGUUUGUGUUUUGUUUUUAAACAGAAAUCAUUCUAUAUUAUAAACAAAGGACAGGGAAUAUGUUGAUUUGCAUCAUGGAGGGAUUGAUCCAUGGGGGCCCAGACCUUGAAGAAUGUGCAGACAUUUUGUGCCUGAUGACAAACCAACAACAAUGAAUACUGGUUUCAGCUAUAAGGACUCAAGGAUUGUACUAUGGAGAUUAGAUCCACAUGGACCCAGAAUUCAGGAAGCAUCUCAGAGCCACCUUUGGAGACAAAGGAUUGAUUCUCCCCUGACUUGACCCAUUGGAUGCUUUUCUUUCCUGGUGGUAAGUGAGGCAAGAAUGACUGUGAGCCUACAAGUGGAAAGGGCAUCAGUGAGACCUUUCCAAACCCAAUAUGGACCCCACAAUGGUAUGUCGGACUGCAUGGUGAAUCUUGCUUUUGCAAUUCUUCUUUUCUCAUCAACCUGGUUACAAGCUUGGGGGAUCUGAAAAGUAAGAAGCUACUAAGUUUGUUUCAGAGAGUGGCAACAACAGUGGACAAAUGGCUUCCUUGCUCAUCUGAGCUAGUUCUUCCUAAGACUUGCCUACCAUUGGUCCAGGCUCUUGUGGUUUUUGCUACAGACUCUGUUUUCUUUAAAGCCUUAAUUUCUGUCUUAGUAUCAGUUCUAAGAGAGAAAAGCAGCAAGAGCUAGACAAUGGGGGUUAAGUGACUUGCCCAGGGUAAUACAGAUGGGAAGUGUUUGAAGUCAGAUUUGAACCUACAUCUUUGUGACUCCAGGUCUGGCUCUCUAUUCACCAUGCUAUCUAGCUGUCCUAUAAGUAUCUUUUUAUUUAAAAAAAAAAAGCUAAAUAAUGCCAUUUGAUCCAAGGGGAAAUAACACCAGACUCCAGUUCAAGGAGCCAUGACCCCUCAAUGUAAACCCCUAAAACCCUGAGAAAAGCAGAAAUCAGCUGACAUAUGAAGAUCAAACCUUCCAGUGUGAGUGGGGAUGGACGGAGAAUACACAAAAGGGAUGAUGCUACUCCUGAAUUGCACAAUAGGUCAAAGGGAAUGAGCAGAGAUUUCAUAGCAUCCAUGUAACUUCCUACACUUUAACCUUAAAAAUCCAUUUCACAAAUACCAGAUUGGGGUCUCUACUCACCACACUAUGGUGCCUCUUAUGCUUCUGCUCGUAACAAAGUUUAAAACAUAGGCAGGCUCCUGGAAUAAUUCCUCUGGAGGGAGUAAUGAAGCAUACCAAGCUACACUAAGGCAUGAUUUGAAAAGAGAGUCUAGUGGGGGGGAAAUGAGCUCUGUAAUAUGACCCAACUUAAAUAAAAAUGACAUUUAUGUUAACCA
ensembl:lncRNA